AACGCGAAGAACCUUACCUGGUCUUGACAUGUAGCGUGACAACCGAUGAAAGUCGGUGACGGUCCGCAAGGACGCUGGGGCUACACAGGUGCUGCAUGGCUGUCGUCAGCUCGUGUCGUGAGAUGUUGGGUUAAGUCCCGCAACGAGCGCAACCCUUGUGAGCUGUUGCUACCCUUUUUGGGAGAACUCUGCUCAGACUGCCCUGUGAAACGGGGAGGAAGGUGGGGAUGACGUCAAGUCAGCAUGGCCCUUACGACCAGGGCUGCACACGUAGUACAAUGCUCACUACAGAAUGAACCGAGACCGAGAGGUGGAGGAAAUCAUUAAAAGUGAGCCCAAUUCGGAUUGUAGGCUGCAACUCGCCUACAUGAAGCCGGAAUCGCUAGUAAUGGCGCAUCAGCACGGUGCCGUGAAUACGUUCCCGGGCCUUGUACACACCGGUACUA
rnacentral:rRNA from 1 species